UACCAGCUCUCCGAGUGGUGUGGAUGUUUAUUGGGCCUAAAGCAUCCGUAGCUGGCUGGACAAGUCCCCUGUUAAAUCCACCGAUUUAAUCGUUGGUGUGCGGGGGAUACUGUUCGGCUAGGGGACGGGAGAGGCAGACGGUAUUUUCGGGGUAGGGGUGAAAUCCUAUAAUCCCGGGAAGACCACCAGUGGCGAAGGCUGUCUGCUAGAACGCGCCCGACGGUGAGGGAUGAAAGCUGGGGGAGCGAACCGGAUUAGAUACCCGGGUAGUCCCAGCUGUAAACGAUGCAGGCUAGGUGUUUGGACGGCCACGUGCCGUUCUAGUGCCGCAGGGAAGCCGUUAAGCCUGCCGCCUGGGGAGUACGGCCGCAAGGCUGAAACUUAAAGGAAUUGGCGGGGAGCACCACAAGGGGUGAAGCUUGCGGUUU
rnacentral:rRNA from 1 species